rnacentral:ribozyme from 11 species
CAGAAUGAAUGAGCAGAUCAAAUAACGGAAAAGAUGGCAAACAGACAAACAGGCAAACAGACGAACAGUCAGACAGACAGACAAUAUAACUCCUUCUUGUCGUUCUUCGUCUUUUUUCCAGGCAAACUGCACGAUUUUUUUUUUUUCUUU